rnacentral:tRNA from 1 species
UGGGAGAUCGUAUAACGGUAGUACAACGGACUCUGAAUCCGUUUAUCUUGGUUCGAAUCCAAGUCUCCCAGCCA